rnacentral:tRNA from 1 species
CAAGAAGUAGCCUCCCUCGGAAUAUCAGCUUUGGGUGCUGAUGGUGGGGAAUAGGUCCCUUCUUCUUGA